rnacentral:rRNA from 1 species
GACGAACGCUGGCGGCGUGCCUAAUACAUGCAAGUAGAACGCACAGUUUAUACCGUAGCUUGCUACACCAUAAACUGUGAGUUGCGAACGGGUGAGUAACGCGUAGGUAACCUGCCUGGUAGCGGGGGAUAACUAUUGGAAACGAUAGCUAAUACCGCAUAAUAUUAAUUAUUGCAUGAUAAUUGAUUGACAUAUUCAAUUGCAUCACUACCAGAUGGACCUGCGUUGUAUUAGCUAGUAGGUGAGGUAACGGCUCACCUAGGCGACGAUACAUAGCCGACCUGAGAGGGUGAUCGGCCACACUGGGACUGAGACACGGCCCAGACUCCUAAGGGAGGCAGCAGUAGGGAAUCUUCGGCAAUGGACGAAAGUCUGACCGAGCAACGCCGCGUGAGGGAAGAAGGUUUUCGGAUCGGAAAGCUCUGUUGUAAGAGAAGAACGGGUGUGAGAGUGGAAAGUUCACACUGUGACGGUAUCUUACCAGAAAGGGACGGCUAACUACGUG